AGGGUAGUAUAUCAAUUGGUUGGAUUACCUGCUUUGGAAGCAGGAGGCUCCCGGUUCGAGUCCGGGUUACCCUA
rnacentral:tRNA from 1 species